rnacentral:tRNA from 1 species
AAAGGUAGAGCUCAGUGGUAGAGCGUGUGCUUAGCAUGCACGAGGUCCUGGGUUCAAUCCCCAGUACCUCCA